ACCGUCCGGACCCCUUACCCAUCAGACCUACACACUGGUCUGAGUGGUUACAAAAGGAGGAGAAGGGACAGUGGAAUGGAUUCAAAUUCUUUUGUGACACAGAAACUAGUUUAAAACCAUG
rnacentral:snoRNA from 1 species